rnacentral:rRNA from 1 species
GUUAAGCGACUAAGCGUACACGGUGGAUGCCCUGGCAGUCAGAGGCGAUGAAGGACGUGCUAAUCUGCGAUAAGCGUCGGUAAGGUGAUAUGAACCGUUAUAACCGGCGAUUUCCGAAUGGGGAAACCCAGUGUGUUUCGACACACUAUCAUUAACUGAAUCCAUAGGUUAAUGAGGCGAACCGGGGGAACUGAAACAUCUAAGUACCCCGAGGAAAAGAAAUCAACCGAGAUUCCCCCAGUAGCGGCGAGCGAACGGGGAGCAGCCCAGAGCCUGAAUCAGUGUGUGUGUUAGUGGAAGCGUCUGGAAAGGCGCGCGAUACAGGGUGACAGCCCCGUACACAAAAAUGCACAUGCUGUGAGCUCGAUGAGUAGGGCGGGACACGUGGUAUCCUGUCUGAAUAUGGGGGGACCAUCCUCCAAGGCUAAAUACUCCUGACUGACCGAUAGUGAACCAGUACCGUGAGGGAAAGGCGAAAAGAACCCCGGCGAGGGGAGUGAAAAAGAACCUGAAACCGUGUACGUACAAGCAGUGGGAGCCUCUUUAUGGGGUGACUGCGUACCUUUUGUAUAAUGGGUCAGCGACUUAUAUUCUGUAGCAAGGUUAACCGAAUAGGGGAGCCGAAGGGAAACCGAGUCUUAACUGGGCGUUAAGUUGCAGGGUAUAGACCCG